rnacentral:rRNA from 3 species
UACGUAGGGUGCAAGCAUUAAUCGGAUUUAUUGGGCGUAAAGGGCGCGUAGGCGGAAAUGCCAGUCAGAUGUGAAAUCCCGGGGCUCAACCCCGGAACAGCAUUUGAAACUACAUUUCUAGAGGGUAGGCGGAGAAAACGGAAUUCCACAAGUAGCGGUGAAAUGCGUAGAUAUGUGGAAGAACACCAGUGGCGAAGGCGGUUUUCUAGCUUAUACCUGACGCUGAGGCGCGAAAGCAAGGGGAGCAAACAGG